UUUUUCGUUUUUAAUUUUAUUUCCGUUCUCUCUCCUAUUAUCUCUUUUCUCUGACCAUCAUCUUCUUUGGCGAAUCAACCUUUGGCGAUCCAUUUCUCGUUUCUUCAAUCAACAUUGACGUCAAGAUGUAGCCUCCUUCGUUGGUGCAGAUUAUUUUUUUCGAUUUCACGUUUACCAGUGAGGCAUGUCUCUCCUUUUCGCUUAUUUGGGUGUAGGUUGCAAAAUGGAAUACUCUGGUGACUUCGUUGAUGAAAGCAAGGUAUGUCUGCUAUUCCCUUUUUCUAUUUUCCUUUCCAUUUCGUGUUUUCCCUUUCCCUUUUCCCAUUUUCCCUUUUCGCUUGAUCCUUUCCCUUUUUCUCUUUUUUUGUUUAUGUUUUUCUUUUUGGUGUUUUCUCUUUCAUUAUUUCAUUUUUGCAUUGUUAUGACAUGAUAGGUUUAUUUUUGAUGCAAUUGUGUGUCCAAAAUUCUUCCAAGACAAAGUUAAUUUCUGCUUAGAAAAGAAGAAUGACUCCGGAGUAGAGAAGCUAUAUUAAAAGACACCAUUUGGUUGGUUUUUAGAUUUGCAUGACAAUGUUAAGAUUGGUAGGAGUGUCUUGAAUGAGGUAUGUGUUAGAUAGGUUGACUCGAGGGGUGGAUUUUCUUUUGGAGAGAAAAUUGUAAAGUUUAAGGAAAUGGACGUGUACAAGCGCAUGAAGGAAGGACAAUGCGUACAUUACAAGAGUCGUGCACUAAGAACUUCCUACACUGGAUAUGGUCCAAAAAGGCAAUGAUAUGUGUAUUAAAUGUUUUUUUUAAAUGAGGUUGACAAUACUAAAUGAAGAUCAUUAUAAAGUUAACUAAAUGAAAAUUGAUUGCAAUAAUUAUUGGAAAUGCCAAUAUAUAUCAAGAUAUUUCGAAUAAGCAUUGUCAUUGAGUAAAAAGUUAAUGUGCAAUGUGAUUUGAAGUCUUGAUGAGGAAACUCACUCAUCCAAGGAAAAAAAAACAUGAAAAAUUCACUCAAAAACAAAGUCCAA
rnacentral:lncRNA from 1 species